rnacentral:rRNA from 1 species
UGAGGAAUAUUGGUCAAUGGACGGGGAGUCUGAACCAGCCAAGUAGCGUGCAGGAUGACGGCCCUAUGGGUUGUAAACUGCUUUUAUAGGGGGAUAAAGUGUGCCACGUGUGGCAUAUUGCAGGUACCCUAUGAAUAAGGACCGGCUAAUUCCGUGCCAGCAGCCGCGGUAAUACGGAAGGUCCGGGCGUUAUCCGGAUUUAUUGGGUUUAAAGGGAGCGUAGGCCGUCUUAUAAGCGUGUUGUGAAAUGUCGGGCUCAACCUGGGCAUUGCAGCGCGAACUGUGAGACUUGAGUGCGCACAACGUGGGCGGAAUUCGUGGUGUAGCGGUGAAAUGCUUAGAUAUCACGAAGAACUCCGAUUGCGAAG